GGUUGUGUAGUUUAACUGGUAAAACGAUAGUCUCCAAAACUAUAUAGUACGGGUUCAAGUCCUGUCACAACCG
rnacentral:tRNA from 1 species